rnacentral:rRNA from 2 species
GUGCGAGACCGAUAGCGAACAAGUACCGUGAGGAAAAGAUGAAAAGAACUUUGAAAAGAGAGUUAAAGAGUACCUGAAACUGCUGAAAGGGAACCGAAUCGUAUCCAGUGUCUAUAAUCCAUGGCAUAUUUCAUUGGCAAGUGAGUGCGUGCAGCGUUUUGGAAGUGGUUUUCCGCUCCUGUCGUUGUUGUGCAUUUGCUUGCUGGUGCCCUGUGCUGUAGUGGGACGUCAGAGUCAGUUCGUAUACUGCGGGAAAUGGUUGCUGGGGAGGUAGGUCGCUUCGGUGGCUAUUAUAUCCUGGUGACUAGUCGUCGUGGUUGGGACUGAGGUGCCUACAAUGUGCUUUCGAGUCUAUGGGACUCUCGUUUGGCUGUUUGCCUUGAUAGCUUGCUAUGCUGGUGAAUAUGUUGUGCGAUUGAGACCUGUAUUAACUUGUUGCUGUUCGGGACUUUG